AUUGAAACUCGAAAGUUUCGAUAUUUUUAGCCAGUUUAUCAUGGUAUUGUUUCUCAAAGACUGCCAGUUUACUGUAGACCUUACUUCUAAACACUUUCCUUAUAAAAGAAAGCAAGAAAUUCGUCGGAGAAUCACAGAAUAUGGAGGGACAAUUUCGUACAUUCUGAACAACAAGGUAUGUCAAAAUAGCUUUCACUACAAAGCAGUAUCGCGCAGCAAAUGCUGGCCAACCUGCAGUUAUCAGAAUGAGAAAGUGAUGUUCAUUCCUUUCAUUACAUAGAGUAGUCUUGUACUUGGUAGAAAAUGUUUAGAAGCGAGUGAUGCAACUUUUAAUUUGCUUGCUCUUAAUAAAUAUGUGAACAUUUUUGAAAGUUGCUUGCUCCACGUUAUGAAAUAUUUGAAGUUAGUUCGCUUGUGUUAGCAAGAGUGAAUAUUCCGUGUGUAUGUGUAUUCAUUGGAAACUAUGAAAUGUGUGAAGUAUGUUAAAACAGCAGUUGUCCCUGAGGCGACGGUGCGAGGGUACUAUUUCCCCCCGGCUAUUUACACCUGGCCAGGGUGCAUUCCAUGUAGAGUGCACGCCGAAGUUCCGCUGCUGGAAAAUUCGCACACGCCGCCAGACUACCAGAUUCAAUUAAUCAAAAAAAUUUCGGUCAGUGUGCCAUUUUAGGGGUCAAAAAUUUCCGGACAUCCCAAAAGUUUUCGUUGCAUAAAACAAUUUUUCUCGGCAUUACCAAAUUUUCUCCAUUUAUCCAACUUUUUUUUCUUAAAUCCGAAAAUUUUGUCAAUUUAGCUCAUUCUCCAAAUUCACACUUAUUUUUGUUAAUUAACUUUCUCUGGGCCUAGAAAUUACCUGAAUUUGCGUUCAUUUACCCGACUUUCCUCUGCAAAUCUACCUGGAUUUACCUGAAAUUGCUCACAUGAGCAAUUAUUGGUGGGUGUUACUGUUACACCCCCCGGUCGGCACGGCCCUGUGCGUGUGUGGUUUUAGACACAAUAAAACACGAGUCGCAAGUGUAUUGAACGGCUUCAAAAACCAAUUAGUAUUCUUUAUAUGAGGAAUACUAAGUAUAGGAAGUGUUUUAUCAAAUAUGAACCACUGCAUGUAACAUAUUAUACUUGAUUUGGUUGCCAAAAAAGAUCAUGAAACUGUUAAGUUAUCCGAUAAACAAUAGAGACUUAACGACGAUCUUUUCUGAUUGUAUUAUAUUAAGUUUGUAUGCCGUUGAGGGAAAAAAAAGACUAUGCCGUCACGCCAACAUUAGCAUUUGCACGCUGCUGCGCCGUAGGGCAUCGCAACUCCACGACGAAGAUCUUCGGGUUUGGCUACAUGGAAUGCACCCUGGACACCCGGGGAAACAAAGGCAUUAGCAAAGUCUAAAGUUCAUCAAUCAUUGCGGGCGUGGGCAGGGGCGUAAAUGUGGGGGGUGUAGGGGGGUGGUUCACCCCCCCCCCCAGAGAAAUGAUCCAGUCGGUCUCAAAAUUAUGCUGUUUACAUGCAAUGCUUUGCGAAGCAAAUUAAAUAUUUUCGAAACUCGAGAUAGACUCAAACUAUUUAGUAUUGAGUUGGAAAUUUGCUCAGAAAUAAUAUGAAGAAAUAUUAUGUACUUAUUUCGUGAGUUUAUGAAUGAAUUAUCAGUUGGCACUUUUAUUUGGAACUUAGGUUCUGCAAGGUCAUUCACGGGUGAUAUUCUAUAAUUGUAUAAGUGAAAAUUUCAAACCCCCCAAAUCAGACUCCAAAAUGCGAUGAAUGUCAAUCAAAAUAGCUAACAUUAGUUACAAUAUUUCUCCGGUCCCUAAACUAUAAGAUGCAAAACAUGCAAAGUGCAAAAACGAAUUUCUAGCCAAGUUAUAUUAGGAAUUACGUUCACAUGUAACACGAUAUGCAUAUGGAUUUUGUUACCAAAGAGUUUUAUGUGCCUACUGCAAUCAACUGAGAAAUUCGAUCAGUGAACGACGCACUGGUUUAACUGAAAUCACGGAGCGAAAAAUGUUUCCACUUACUAGGCGAUGUUUCCAAUUGUUGCUUACAGUCAGGCCGAUAACUAGGUAUAUGAGUCAAUCGAGUUCAAGUUCAAUGACAGACUGUAGUUCUCUCCAUGUGAGGCAUUAUUCUUGCCCUACAGUGACGUAAGAAAUGGGAGGCUGUGUGGGUGCACAAGUACCCCAAUAACAAAAGUGCAGGCCAGUGCCCAAAUAUUACAACAAUUGAGCACAAAUACUUUUUUAUUAUGCACCUGAUCAAUGAUGUUCGACCAAAAAUAUUUGUAAUUCUUAGCCUCAGGAUUGGGGGCAAACAGCAAACUACAGUAUAAAAUUAUAGUCAUUGUGUCACUGUUUAUGAAAUUGAUUUUGUGGUUUAAACUGCUCCCAGAAUGCAGGAAAUAGCGUUUCUAAGCCUUGGAAAAUCAAAAAUUUUCUGGGGGAGCAGACCCCCCAAAAGUGUCUCGGUCAAUCAAAAAUACUAUAGUUACGCGCCUGACAGUUCCUGUAACAUCCGAUGCAUCAGCCGAGCGCAGCUUUUCAAAUUUGAAGUCGGUGAAAACUGUUAUGCAUUCAGUAAUGAACCAGGAACACCUUGGUGAACUCUUGACUCUUGUGUGUGAGCGCGAUCUAACAGACACAGUCACACGAUCGAUCUUGACGAAAUUGCUAAUCCGUGGUCAAACCUGACUAAGGGCAGACACUUAACGUUUCACAGCAAACUGUACAUGUUCUUGUUUUGUACUCGAUUUUAUUGCAACACACCAACUCACCAAGAGUUGGUCUGGAUUCACAUUUCAGUGGUGGGUUGGUCUCAUUUCGUGAUUACACCCUCCCAGUCAAAAUCAAUAUGUCCGCCCCUGCGCGUGGGUCACCAACGGUGUUGGAGUGUUGUGUGUUGGUGGACUGUCAUGAAUAGCAGACACUGAUUGGUCCAAUUUAAAGUUUGCAUUAUAACAACUGCAUGACGACAGCGAAAUAACAUACAUUUCUUGAUUUGAUGAUUGAUAAAUUUCUUGCAAAUAUAUUUCAUUUUUGUUGCAUUUUUACAAGAUUUUGUAAAUUUCAAAAGCUUUCUCAGAAAGAUAUUGCGAAAAAAACCUUGACAGCCUUUGCGUAUGUUUUAAAACUCGAUGGCCUUUGCGUAAUGUUUAAAACCUGAUGGCCUUUGCGAAUGUGAAACAACUAAACCAGGCAGCAUAUAAUUUCAGUGUAUUUUUAAUUAAUAUUGAUUCCCUUUUUUAUUAUAGUGAAUUUUUUAAAUAAAAAAAGAAAACAAAGUUAUUUGCAUGCGAGAAUUUGAAAUCAUUUUAUUGCAAACUCAAAGUUUAUCGAUAAAGCCGUAGGCAGUUUAGUUUUGUGAACGACACUUUAAAACGUUUUGCAAAACGUUUGUGGUUGAAUUUUACCUUAAAUUGAAGCUUAUAUUAUUUAUAUAAUAACAUACCUAACAUAUAUAUGUUGGGAAAUUGAUAAUGUUGUCAAUUAAAAGUGAUAUUUUGAGGGGAUUUUUCAUUUGUAAGAAUAUUCUUAUAAAAUUAUCGUGUUACCAUGUCAACUACUUUAGAUACUUCAUGUUCGGAAAAUACAAUGGUUUUGUCAGCAAGGAGAGAGUUUCUAACUUUCUGCAUGCAUGUAUUUUCUAGUAUUUGGCCUAUUUUUGCCUUGGCAACUUUGAGGGUUUUAUCAUUUGCUUUGGCAAUUCUGAAGUGCUGAGGUGAAUUAUGAAGUUUGCACAAUGAUAGACCAGUGGUGGAUCCAGCAAAGUUGUUUUGGGGGGUGCUAACCAAUGGCAAAACAAGCGCCGAAGGUGCGAGAUUUCUAUGGGGGUCUGGUGGUCCCCUGAAAAUUUUUAAAAUUUGGGUCUCUGAAAUGGCAUUUCCAGCAUUCUGAGAAAACAUUCUGGAAAAUUUUUAGAUUCUCAAAACAUUUAAAAAUUCAGAAUACUUAAUAUUGGCUAUUCUGCUAUUGUCAACUGGUGAUACCCAACUGAAUUCCUUAGCAUAAGAUAGACUAGAUUUGAUGUUAGUAAUAUGCAUGUAUUCGCAAGUUCGUAUAUACUGUGAACAAAAAGCAAUAUAAACAUACAGUAUAUAAUCUAUACUAAAACAACAACACUUCUGUAUUAGAGAGCUGUCUGUAUUAGAGAGGUGUCUGUAUUAGAGAGAUGUCUGUAUUAGAGAGGUGUCUGUAUUAGAGAGGUGUCUGUAUUAGAGAGAUGUUUGUAUUAGAGAGAUUUCUGUAUUAGAGAGGUGUCUGUAUUAGAGAGAUGUCUGUAUUAGAGAGAUGUCUGUAUUAGAGUGAUGUCUGUAUUAGAGAGGUGUCGGUAUUAGAGAGGUGUCGGUAUUAGAGAGAUGUCUGUAUUAGAGACUAGAGAGAUGUCUGUAUUAGAGAGAUGUCUGUAUGAGAGGUGUCUGUAUUAGAGAGGUGUCUGUAUUACAGAGAUGUUUGUAUUAGAGAGAUGUCUGUAUUAGAGAGAUGUAUGUAUUAGAGAGAUGACUGUAUGAGAGAGGUGUCUGUAUUAGAGAGGUGUCUGUAUUAGAGAGAUGUUUGUAUUAGAGAGGUGUCUUUAUUAGAGAGAUGUCUGUAUUAGAGAGAUGUCUGUAUUAGAGAGGUGUCUGUAUUAGAGAGAUGUAUGUAUUAGAGAGAUGUCUGUAUGAGAGAGGUGUCUGUAUUAGAGAGGUGUCUGUAUUAGAGUGGUGUCUAUGUUAGGGAGGUGUCUGUAUUAGAGAAGUGUCUGUAUUAGAGAGGUGUCUGUAUUAGAGAGAUGUCUGUCUUAGAGUGGUGUCAGUGUUAGGGAGGUGUCUGUCUUAGAGUGGUGUCUAUGUUAGGGAGGUGUCUGUAUACCGACUCCUCUCUGAUGCAGACACCUCUCUAAUAUAGACAUGUCUCUAAUACAGACAUCUCUCUAAUACAGACACCUCUCUAAUACCAAAUCUGUUUAUUUAGACCAAGUUAUUUGUGUCAGAAAACAAAGAGAUUACUGAAACAUACAAAGGCAGAACAGCAGUG